rnacentral:rRNA from 1 species
GAUGAACGCUGGCGGCGUGCCUAAUACAUGCAAGUAGAACGCUGAAGGAAGGAGCUUGCUCUUUCCGGGUGAGUGGCGGACGGGUGAGUAACGCGUGGGUAACCUGCCUGGUAGCGGGGGAUAACUAUGGGAAACGGGAGCUAAUACCGCAUAACAGUAGGUGUUGCAUGGUAUCUACUUAAAAGGUGCAAUUGCAGCACUACCAGAUGGACCUGCGUUGUAUUAGCUAGGUGGGGAGGGAACGGCUCACCAAGGGGACGAUACAUAGCCGGCCUGAGAGGGUGGUCCGCCAAACUGGGACUGAGACACCGCCCCGACCCCUACCGGAGGCAGCCGGAGGGGAUUCUUGGCAAUUGGCCGAAGGCCGGACGGGCAAAGCCGCGUGAGGGAAUAAUGGUUUCGGAUCGUAAAGCUCUUUUGUAAGGGAAGAACGAGUGUGGGAGUUAAAUGUUCACACUGUGACGGUACCUUACCAGAAAGGGACGGCUAACUACGUG